rnacentral:rRNA from 1 species
AGCGAACGCUGGCGGCAGGCUUAACACAUGCAAGUCGAGCGGGCAUCCUUGUGGUGUCAGCGGCAGACGGGUGAGUAACGCGUGGGAACGUGCCCUUCGGUUCGGAAUAACUCAGGGAAACUUGAGCUAAUACCGGAUACGUGCGAGAGCAGAAAGGUUUAUCUGCCGAAGGAUCGGCCCGCGUCUGAUUAGCUAGUUGGUGAGGUUAUGGCUCACCAAGGCGACGAUCAGUAGCUGGUCUGAGAGGAUGAUCAGCCACACUGGGACUGAGACACGGCCCGGCCCCCCACGGGAGGCGGCAGGGGGGAAUUUUGGAAAGGGGGGGCACCCCUGCCCACCCCAGGCCGGGGGAGUGAGGCGGGCCUUGGGGUUGAAAAGCUCUUUUCCCGGGGCGGAUAAUGAGGGGACGGGAGAAAAAACCCCCGGCUACCUCGGGG